UUUCCCCUCACUCGGAUAUAAUAAUAGCCAUCAUUUACCCAGGCGGUAACUGGGAAAGCAAAAAUGGGUAAGACCAAAUGGCAGUCCUAAUAAACAAACGUGCACAGGUCUGCCAUCUAUGGGGCGCAGGUGGGGUGGGAAGGAUUUCCAAAGAGGCCAAGUAAAGGAUGGGCAGUUCAUUUUACCAGGAUGGUGUGAGAAAGGCAUUUUAGGGAGAGGGAACAAUUUGACUAAAGUCGGGGAGGAGGCGAACAGCCAGGAGAGAGGGAGGGAGGGAGAGGAAAAUAGAAGCAGGGAGGUAUUACCGAGGACCUACUUGCCAAACCCGAAGGGAGGAGCGUAAGGCUGGGAGCGGCGGGCUGUACCACCCGCUCGGAGUCUGGGAGCCGCUGAGGAUCCCCAGUCUGGGGGAGAAAAGCAGGACAAAGUACAAAACCGCCUCUUCCAGCCACCUCGGGACGUGGAAAGCCUGAACGAAAGGUGAAACGAGGAGCUGAUGGCUUCGGAAGAGAUCUUUCCAGCAGAACGUGGUUUUCCUUUAAGGGGUUCAGGAAGUUCCGAUCUCAGCUUCUCCUCUUACCAGCUGAGUGAUGCUGGGAAAGGAACCCACCUUCCUCAGAUCUCAAUGUCCUCUGAGCAUAGGUGACCUCCUGGACCAUCUGGCAAAGGCAAAAAGAACCUGGAGGAAGUUGAGGUUCCCAUCACAACCAGAAACUGGUAUCUAGGACACCAUCCCUGCCCACGCGUGCUGUUAGUACCACACCCACACAUUUCACUAAGAGAUAGGUAUCAAUCUCAGAAGCAUUUCCCAAUCCUCCCUUGUUGGUCCUGCCCUCAUCAGUCCUGCCUGUCCUGGAGUCCCACUGAAAUCUAACCUGAAUCUUCCUGCCCUGUCCUGCUGAGCUGCAGUCAGCAGCCCCUAAUAGGUUCCAGGCAAGUUUGUGGACGCACAAUAGAUGCAUGUCACCCACAGCCUCUGUUCCUUUCAUCCCUGUUGGGCAAGAAGGCUGCCGUUGGCAUGGUAACCUUCCCUGUAAAAGUUGCAGCCCUCAAGGAUGUUUUUCAGCUCCAGCAGGGACACAGCUCCUUCCCCCCUCUGUAGACCACUGGGUGACAUGUGGCUUUGUCAUUCUGCCACCCCUACCAAAACAGGGAGAUGGAGCUGACAACCAGAAAGGACUGGUUGGUGGAGGGCAGCAAAGGACCUAAGGAAGAUGACAGAUCGGAUCUCUGAGGAGCGUGUUCCUUCUGCCCUGUGCAUUAAUCCUUGCCACCCAGAGAAACCAGUUCCUAGACCCAGAAUAUUUAGGGAGACUCUGGGGAUUUUACACAUCUCACUCAAACCAGGUACCCAACAAAUGGCAUGAUACCUAGUGUAGAAUAAGCUGAUAAAUCAUAAAGCCUCCAGAAUCCAAUGAUUUACUUUCUCUUCAGUCCCUCUGAGGAAUAAAUGAAUAUUUAUUAACCAUGUCCCAGUGUUCCAUACAUUAU